GGUAAUAAAUACAUUCAAUGCGUUAAGUUGGUCAGGUAUGUAUUUUGAGAUUAUAUUUAAGCUUGAUUUGGACUAAAUCACAAGGUCGUUAUGUGAUGCAUAUGUGAGUAAAGCAAUAAGACUGUUCUAUGAUUAUUGUGCGUUUGGUCAAUGUGGAAAGUUAGGUGAAAACAUGUACUGUACCUAUGUUUAUAAGAGAUCACUAUCAAGUGAGAAUUUAUCUGCCUAUUAUAUAUGAUGAGAUGUGCAUAUUCGGUAAAGGGAUGGUAUGCCCGAAGGAAGAGUGAAAUAAAGAUACGAACAACUAUGUUAUAAUUUGAUUGUUAUCUAUUAACACUGCUUAAAACUUACUAAGCAUUGUAAUGCUUACUCCGUUUACUUUGUUUCCUCUAUUUUAUAGAUCUCAUUUGGAAGCUACAGGCUCGGGGAUCGUCAGCAACUAGUCACACUAUCACUAUCCACUGCUUGUUACUGUUAUGUUUUGAAUUAUUCUAUGGCAUGUAAAGAAUAGACCAGUGGCCGAAGAAUAUUUUGGUUAAUGUAUAUAAGCCAUGCGAAAAUGGCAUCUUUUGAAUGUGUACUUAUAGAAGUUAAAUGGUAUCCCUGACUGUCUUUAGUAUUUACCUAAAGGAAUGUUCUUUAUAAAAUAUAUAUAUUCGAAAUUUUUACUGUUCUGAUAUGAGUUUCAAGUCUGGUAAUGCCCCUUUACCUAUUUCGGCGACGAAUACGGGGUAGGGGUGUUACGUUUUAUUGGUAUCAGAGCUACGGUUUAGUCGAUUCUUGGAUUAACGUAGCACGCGUGAGUCUAUUUAUACAUGCCAUAAUGUGAUAAAGUGAUAGUGUGAUGAUUUUUGACUAUUAAAAUGUGUUUGUUGUAUUGUAAUGAAUUUUGAUCCCGAUCGAGCUGUAGCAAGCUUCUGACUAUGAGAAUUUGCGAUAUAACUUCACUUGGAUAUGCUUAAAUUAUUAAGUUGAUUAGGUACGUAUCAUGUACUCGUAUUUGAAUUUUGAUUUGGAUUGAAUUAUAAGGGUAUAAGUGAUGCAAUUUUGAAAGUGUGUUAUGACUAUAAAUGUGAUCUUUGUAUGUGGCUAUGGAACUGAAAGUUGAAUGAUCGAUAAGCAUGUUGUGUUUGUAAUCAAGUAAUGUAAAUGAUAUACUAAUGUGUAUUGUUAUAUAUGUAUAUGUACAUGAGAAUUGAGAGUUAUAUAGCCGGGUUAAGUCCCGAAGAGCAUUCGUGCUGGUGUUAUGUCCGGGCUAAGUCCCGAAGAGCAUUCGUGCUGGUGUUAUGUCCGGGCUAAGUCCCGAAGAGCAUUCGUGCUGGUGUUAUGUCCGGGCUAAGUCCCGAAGAGCAUUCGUGCUGGUGUUAUGUCCGGGCUAAGUCUUGGAGAGCAUUCGUGUUAGAGUUAUAUUAGGGUUAAGUCCCGAAGAGCAUUCGUGCUGGUGUUAUAUCCGGGCUAGGUCCCGAAGAGCAAUCAUGCUGGUGAUGUGUAUUCGGGCCUUCGUGUCUAGUAGGCUUCGUGCCGGUAAUUUGAGCAAAGUUUAAGUGUUCAUUACUAUACGAAUUCAAUUUUAAAUGAAAGGAUAUGUUUAAAAGUGUACAUACAUGAUGUUUAUAGACUUGGUUAAGUCAUUUCAAUGUGUAACAACAAAUGAAUAGGGGCACUAUAUGUGCAAAUGAUUAGAGGCACUGAGAGUGCGAGUUCUUCAACCGAGCACUAUGUGUGCGAGAUCGGUCAGUAGACAUUAAGUGAGUAAAACAAGAUUCAUGUAAGACCUCGUAUGGAACGAAGGCAUUGAUUUAAGAUGGUGGAUAUAUUGUUAAGAAAUGAAUUCACGUUAUAAAUGUGUUACAGAUUUAGUUUAUGGAAUGCUUGGUAUAUGAAGUCAUAUGUGCUAUUGCUAAAUGACCCCUAUUUUUGUUAAUCAUGUUCAAGAAAUUAUUUCGAUUAAGUUCGACAUCUGAAAGUCUGUAAGAAUUUUUGAUGAAUGCUGAUAAUUUUGGAUAUAUGGGUUAUGUGCUAAAAUAAAUCCCAUGCCGGUAUACUAUAUGAGGCUUUAUGCCAAAUCGAUUGUAUACGGGUAUCGUUAACGGUGAUUGAAUGUGCUAAAUGAAUUCAAUGUUCAGGUAUGUGGAAGUUGAUUUUCUGUUGGAAAUAGGUUAAGUUGAAUAGUGAGAUAUGAUGGAGUUAUAAAGGAUAUUUAUUGGGGUGUUUGAGUAUAUGUGUACUUUCGGUCAGGUUACAGCUUAUACAUGAAUGAAAAUGUGGGUUACAAAUAUGUGGGUUGAUGUUGUGAAUUAUACAUGUUAAUAUGUGCUUAAUAUGUGUUUGAAAUGCAUUUGUGAAUUAAAUUGAGUGAUUAUUGCUUACAAAAUCAAGAAAAUGAGAUAUAUGUGCAUACUUGUAGAAAUGUUUAUGUAUUUGUUUUAAGAUAAGAAAAUGAUUUUAUAGAUCGAUGCGAAAUCAGUAAUGAAUUACAAUUGCUAUCGAUGAGCUAAUAUUUAUAUGGAUAUAAUUCAAUAAGAGGACGUUAUCCUAAACUAUGCAUCGGUAGAAAUUUUCGGGGACGAAAAUCCCUAAAGGGGGGGAGAGUUGUGACACCCCUAAUCUGACCCUAGUCGAAAAGUGGUUUCGGGACCACGAAACCGAGUUUUAUAAAUAAUUGAAAGUUAUAUUCUAUGUUCAUAAGGUGAGUAAACGCAUGUGUAAAAAUUUCAAGCAUUAAUUUUGCCAUUUGUAUGUGAAAUUUUGAAACGGGACUUAUGUGAAACAUUGGUAAAAUAGGUUGGUAAAAAUAUAAAGUGAUCUAAUAGAGCAUGUAUUCAAAAAUAUGGACUUGCAUGUCAAUUAGACCAUUUUUGAAUGUAAAUGGCCGGCCAACACAUGCAUGUAACAAUGUGUUCUCUUGUCUCCAUUUUUAAUUGGUGGGAAUUAUGUAUAAUAAUAAAUUUAUAUUAGUGGUGGUGAUAGAAACAAAGUCCCAUCAUCUUUUUUUUCAUCUUGCCGAAACCAUAAGGAAAGGAAAAAGAAAAAUGGAAGGAAGAACACCUAAGGCAUUCGGCCAUCUUGUGUUGGGAAUUAAGGUAUGAUUUCAUAUGUUUUUCUUUGGAUUUUGAGAAAUUUAAAUUGGUUUUAAAGCUCCUAAAAUGACCCAUGUAUGUGAUUUUGUGUUUGUGAUGCAUGAAGCAUUCGAUCAUGAGCUCAAUGGGUUACAUUGUGUAUGUUUGAUAAUUUGUGAGGAGAAAUGUUUCUAAUUGAGUAUAAACAAACUAAAUUACUAUAUGUGGCUCAAAUGAGCUUGAGUAGUCGGCUAAUGAAGUUAGUUGAGUUAUAAUACUUGCUUUAUAAUGAAAAGAACAUGAGCUUAAUGCUCAAAUAGCAUUCGGCUUUGGACUAAGUUAAAUUAGUUAGGAAAUGAGUUCCAAGAUAGUGAAUUAUGUGUUAAAAGAGGGAUUUAGGUUGUAUAUACGUGUUUAGAUUGAAAACAAGAGGCUAUGUUAGCUAAUUGAGGGAUUCGGCCAUAGUAUUAUAGUGAAUAAUAAUUUGAACAAGGGUUUUAAUUGUAUGAUAGGUUUUCGGAUAUGGUUGAUUGGAUAAUAAAUUGGUGUGGGUGUUUUGAAUGAGAUAUGUACAAUUAUAAGUUAAAUUUAAGGUUUGUUAAAUUUGUCCUUAUCAUUGCCGAAUGAGUUCAAUGGCUAAAGAAAAUUGUUAAGUUCUUAGUUAAUGUGCAUUCGGUCAUUUAGGAUGAGUAUACAUUUGAUAAUGUUUUGAUACUUUGAAAUGGAAUUUAAUUAUUAAUGAGUUAUAAGCUUGUUGAAUUUUGAGAUGUAAUUGGGAGUAAAUUUGAUAUGAGCAUAUUUUGUUAAUGACAUAUUGAUAAAUGUUGAGUUACGAUACCAUGAUAUUAAGCUUAAAGGCAUUCGAUCAUGAGAUGGAUUAAGGUGAACUAAAUGAUAUUCUGCAAUGUUACUUUUUACAUGAGGAAUUCGGUGUUAAUUGUAUUAAAUAAGGUUUUUGUUUCUUGUUAAAUUGGAUGUAUCUUGUUGUAUGAGUGCUUGAACAAACUAUGAUUAAAUAGAUGCAUAGAUUCAAGGUGGGAAAAAUUGGCUAUUAUGCUUGAUACUAAUGCCGAAUAUGAGAAUGUUGUACUUGAAAAAUAUAGGUGAACAUGACAAGUGUAUUCGGCUUAGGGCAUAAAGGAUAUGAAAAUUUGGUAUUUAUUUUUGAUUGUGUGUGUAUGACCAUGGAUAAUUGGCUGCACAAAUAUUAUAAAUACAUAAUGUAUGUUAAAUUUAUUAAGCUACAAAACAUUAUACAUGAUCGGCCAAGGUAAAUUAUUUGAGUAAAGUAUAUCUUGAUGGUACAUUUCGGCUAGUAUAAAAUGUAUAUGGAUGUCGUAUGACUAUGUUUAAUUUGGGAAGUAAAUUGUUUGAUUUAGCUCAGGAGCCUAGAGGAUCAAAGUUGGAUAAGGGAAAGGAAAAAAUGAUCGAAUAGCCGUCGUAAUCGUUCGGCAUCUUUCGAGGUAAGUUUUAAGUGAAUAAACGUUGAGUAAAUUCAAUCAUAAUAGGACAUAAUGAGUUGAUUUAAUAAGAUAUGAUGUGGCCAUGAUAUGUCUUAAACUCAAAUGGUAAGUUCAUAAGUGUUUGGACUUGGAAAUUUAAGAGCAAAUUGUAAUAAUUUGCUUAGGACAGCAGCAGUAAUGUGAAUUUAGAAAAUCACUAUAAAUUGUUGGUGUGGAAUUAUAGGGUGAAUAAAAUAAGUAUUCAAAGCUUAAUUAGUCUAGUUUCUUAUAAAAGAGACCGUGUAAGCAAAGAAAUUUCCUAUAAAGAGAUAUUUGAAUUUGUGUGAGACAGUGUCAGAAUGACUCCGAAAUCCCCUGUUCUGUUUUUAGAAAAUCAUUAUAAUUUGUACAGAAAUGGUUAUAAGAUAAAAUUUAUAUGCUUAGACUCCUUAAUGAGUCUAGUUUCAAGUGAAAUCAAAUAGAACAUAUUUUGAAUUCUGUACAAUGAGAAAUUUGAUUCGUAGUGAAGAGUGGUCAGAUUAGUCAAACAGUGAAACAGAGGAAACUUUAAGAAAAAUCUGGUAUUGAUUGGCCAAACCUAAAAUUCUGAAAAUUGUAUGGAUGGAAGAUAUAUGAGUCUAUAUUCAGAGAAAAUUAACAGAAAUUGAUUUUGAGUUUUGUAGCUCCAGUUAUAAAUAAUUUAGUGACUAUUGCUCAGGAAAACAGCUUGUAGUGAAUAUGUGAAUUUGUUGUAAACAUUGAUGAAACUAUUUGAGUUGCUUACAAGCUAUUGCUGAAAUUGAUGUACAAGAUAAAUAUAUAUGAGAUAUGUAUAUGUGGUAAAGCCGAAUGGCUAAUGUGAAAUAUAUAUGAGAUAUGUAUAUGUGGUAAAGCCGAAUGGCUAAUGUGAAAUAUAUAUGAGAUAGGUAUAUGUGGUAAAGCCGAAUGGCUAAUGUGAAAUAUGUAUGAGAUAUGUAUAUGUGGUAAAUGGCUAAUGUGAAAUAUAUAUGAGAUAUGUAUAUGUGGUAAAGCCGAAUGGCUAAUGUGAAAUAUGUAUGAGAUAUGUAUAUGUGGUAAAGCCGAAUGGCUAAUGUGAAAUAUAUAUGAGAUAUGUAUAUGUGGUAAAGCCGAAUGGCUAAUGUGAAAUAUGUAUGAGAUAUGUAUAUGUGGUAAAGAUGAAUGGCUAAUGUGAAAUAUAUAUGAGAUAUGUAUAUGUGGUAAAGCCAAAUGGCUAGUGUGAACUAUGUAUGAGAUAUGUAUAUGUGGUAAAGCCGAAUGGCUAGUGUGAAAUAUGUAGGAGAUGUGUGUAUAUUGUGGCCGAAUGACCAAAUGUGAAAGGUGUGUAUUAUUAGAUAUUUGAUGAGGCAAAUGAAUUAAAAAUAUGACAGUCGAUGUGAAUGUUGUAACAUGUGAUUAAAUGUACAUGAAACUUGGAAAUAUAUUCCGGGUAAGACCCGAUGACUACGUGUGGAGAUUAUGUCCGGGUAAGACCUGAUGACUACGUGUGGAGAUUUUGUCCGUUUAAGACCCGAUAACUACGUAUGGGGACUAUUCGAGCUAAAGGUUUCGCUGAAGAUUCAAGUAAAGCAUAAGAUUAUACGACUUCACAGUAACAAUUGGUAAUAAAUACGUUCAAUGCGUUAAGUUGGUCAGGUAUGUAUUUUGAGAUUAUAUUUAAGCUUGAUUUGGACUAAAUCACAAGGUCGUUAUGUAAUGCAUAUGUGAGUAAAGCAAUAAGACUGUUCUAUGAUUAUUGUGCGUUUGGUCAAUGUGGAAAGUUAGGUGAAAACAUGUAAUGUACCUAUGUUUAUAAGAGAUCACUAUCAAGUGAGAAUUUAUCUGCCUAUUAUAUAUGAUGAGAU
rnacentral:lncRNA from 1 species